CAACAAGGUGCCUCUAUAUUUCUCAUGUAUCAUGGAUACGAAAAUGAUAAGACUUGUUGCUGGUUUUUCCAGAUUGACAUUUAGGAAGGUUUUCAUUGCAACAAAUGGGUGAUGAUGCAUCAAGAUAGUAGAAGAUUUCAGAAAGUCAGUGAUGAAGUCCGCGAUGAAUAUUUAGGUUUCGGCCCAAAAACCCCGAGGCAAGUCAAGCCAGCGAUUGAUAUCUUAUUUCCAAAUUAAAUUCUGGUGAUCAUAAAUUCUGUCUGCCCUCUUUUGUUUUUGAUGAUACAUUGUUUGAUUACUAUCUGGGCAUUGUGUUGUGUUUGUCUCAGAUUCACAUUUCCUGAAGAAGACAAUUACAGCUUAAAAAAGAUAUUGAAGCUAGAAGAUCCUGCUACCUUUUCCAGUCUCAGCCUUGCACCACGAAGAGUUGAUCUGGACAUAAACCAACAUGUAAACAAUGUCGCUUACAUUGGAUGGAUACUGGAGACCAUUCCCCAGGACGUGAUCAACACCCAUGAACUACAAACUAGCUGCUGCAAUUGAUAAAAUUAAAUUAUCUUAAACACUGGAAUAAAGGCUGAGAUCCUCACUUUGUGUCCGACUGUCCUGCUGCUCAGGCUCUUCAUGGUCUGAAAUUCCUAGAAGUUCAGAUCUCUACGGUAAGAGUUUACCUGGAAAAGUUUCCUUUAGUGAGAAUUGAGGAAGCGUGGUAGACACAGUGGCUCUGUUUUCAGUUCUAACAAGUCGUUUCCAUGUGAAUCUGAACUCAUGCACAUGAAGAGCAAGUCCAGGCUGAUUGAUCCACCAGAGCAAAAUAACAGUUUUUAGAGAAUCAUGAAGUCUGGUGGAUGUAUAGAGGAAGAAAGUGAUGGUCAUGAUGACGAUCCUCAUGUGGAGGAAGAUUUUCCAGAGGAGUUUAAAGUGAUCAAGUUUAGUUAUUUUGAAGCCUGAUCCUGGAAAUUUACAAGAUUUGUUUAUUUAGAGAUUGGUUUUGGUAUCGGCCUAUCUCAAGAAGUUUCUAGAUAAUUCAUGGAUGGUCGGAGACUUUUAUUGUUGAUAACUGCUCCAAAAAGAGAAAUUGGUCUCGCUCAGGAAUAACUAUAUAGAUGUGACUGACCUCACAUGUGUACACCAGAACUCUCCAAAUACUCACGGAACUCUCCAACUAGAUAGAUGUUAAUGACCUCAAGUGUACACUAGAUUUCUCGGAUACUCUAUCAAGCUCUCCUAAUCUCAGGGUCACCAUUAGUACUUGAGCAUCAUCUAGAGCCGGUAGAAGAGGAUCAGAUCAUGGCUGCGGUUCAUCACUUGCAGAAUGCUGGCGCUACUGUACAUCAGGAGUUUUAGUAUUUUAGCAUCAUCAGGAGUUUGGUUUGGUAGUAUAUUAGUUCCUGAUGAGCUC